AUCCAGCCGACGAGUCCCAAAUAGGACGAAACGCGAGUCAAAGUGGAU
rnacentral:hammerhead_ribozyme from 1 species